rnacentral:rRNA from 1 species
AUUGAACGCUGGCGGCAGGCCUAACACAUGCAAGUCGAACGGUAACAGGAAGCAGCUUGCUGCUUUGCUGACGAGUGGCGGACGGGUGGGUAAUGUCUGGGAAACUGCCCGAUGGAGGGGGAUAACUACUGGAAGCGGUAGCUAAUACCGCAUAACGUCGCAAGACCAAAGAGGGGGACCUUAGGGCCUCUUGCCAUCGGAUGUGCCCAGAUGGGAUUAGCUAGUAGGUGGGGUAACGGCUCACCUAGGCGACGAUCCCUAGCUGGUCUGAGAGGAUGACCAGCCACACUGGAACUGAGACACGGUCCAGACUCCUACGGGAGGCAGCAGUGGGGAAUAUUGCACAAAGGGCGCAAGCCUGAUGCAGCCAUGCCGCGUGUAUGAAGAAGGCCUUCGGGUUGUAAAGUACUUUCAGCGGGGAGGAAGGGAGUAAAGUUAAUACCUUUGCUCAUUGACGUUACCCGCAGAAGAAGCACCGGCUAACUCCGUG